rnacentral:misc_RNA from 1 species
AAAUUCAUUGUCAGGAGGAACUUCCAGAACUUUUGAAGCUGGUAAAGAAUUGUCACCAUCUGUCUUUACCCCUGGAGCCAGCUUCUCUGCUUCAGUUUUGCUUUCAGGUUUGACAGCAUCAACUUUUGUUUCCGGCUUCACAUCAAUUGUCUCAACCCCUCCUGAUUCCUUGGACGUUUCAGCUUGUGCUUCCAACUUCAGUAUGUCUUUGCCAACAGACUUGCCUUCCUGGAAUAUACUCAGUCCAUGGGACAAACUCCUGGAUGAUAUAAUAAGUUUUCCAUUUCUGUAUUCAGGAUCUUUGGUAUUCAUUAAAUGAUAAGAAAUUGCAGAUACCACAAUCUCUUCUAUGUAGUUACUGAGAACCAUUGUAUCUGCCAUGCAGAUCAAGUCAAGAUCAUCACAAUCAAGAUCAUUGGAUGACAAUACUUCCAUGAUAUGGUUUUUAUUAUCCUGAACUUGGAUCAUCUUCAUAUCUGCCUCCAGUUGGGAUUUCCAGCUGAGAAGACGGGUUUCAUCUUCAGGAGGCCUAAUCUCAAUGUUGUAAGGGAAAACAGCAAGAAGCCUCUCAUCCAGUUCUCUGUUGUCAUUACCCAGAUCCACAAUUUGUGAACCAAGGAUCAGCACUGAUCCAGACAAUUUCUUCAGCAGCUUCUGGAACAAAUUAUAUAUCCUCUGCGAUCUAGAUAAGAACUUAUCAACAUCCCUAAGAUACAGCACAAUGGGACUGGCUUUAGACACAUACACCAAAACCUUGUAAAGGGACUGUAUAAAAAGCUUCUCAUCAAAAGACCAACUGCUUGUGCGCUUCAAAGGAGCUGUACUUGCAGGACUGCAUUGUGUAGCUAGGUUACUUAUAUUAGCUGUUGAGGCAUUUCUUCGUAGCUUAGGAGCAUUAGAGGAAUCUUCAAUCCCCCUUGAAGAAAUAUCCACGCCACUGUAUUGCCUUCGUAGACCGCCUUUUGGUGGUUCUUUCUGAGGACGAACUGAAAGUGAUCCAAGGAAGCCAGACAGUCGCUCCAGUGUAGACUCUGAAGUAGACCUCUUGAAAGACGAUUCUUUCAACGCAUUACCAUAUUUGCUCUGAAUCUUUAGAGAAAAGUCAGUAACAUCUAGCAGCAGCAAUUUAGUUUCAAAGUAAUGAGCUAAAGCCUUG